CCUACGGGGGGCAGCAGUGGGGAAUAUUGGGCAAUGGGCGCAAGCCUGACCCAGCAACGCCGCGUGAAGGAAGAAGGCUUUCGGGUUGUAAACUUCUUUUUUCAGGGAAGAGUAGAAGACGGUACCUGACGAAUAAGCCACGGCUAACUACGUGCCAGCAGCCGCGGUAAUACGUAGGUGGUAAGCGUUGUCCGGAUUUACUGGGUGUAAAGGGCGUGUAGACGGGUUGACAAGUCAGAUGUGAAUGCCUGCGGCUUAACCGCAGAACUGCAUUUGAAACUGUUGAUCUUGAGUACUGGUGAGGCAGAUGGAAUUCCAGGUGUAGGAGUGAAAUCCGUAGAUAUCAGGAAGAACAUCGAUGGCGAAGGCAACUAUCUGGCACAUAACUGACACUGAGGAGCGAAAGCGUGGGUAGCAAACAGGAUUAGAUACCCUAGUAGUC
rnacentral:rRNA from 1 species